CAACUAUGCACUUGGCGCAGUUUUAGC
rnacentral:sRNA from 1 species